GUAAAAGAAAAAUUAUCAUAUGCGUGUGGAAUGGGAUCGACAGUACUCUGACCAAAAGUAAACCGUGAGUCAAUUUCCACCUACCCUUAUCUAUCCCGUGAGAGAGAGAGAGAGAGACCUCUUUCCCACACCGCCCAUAUAUGUAAUAUAUUAGGGAUGAAGGAGGAGAACGAUUGAAGCAGUAAGAGCGAAAGGGGAAAUGAGCUAAUGGGAUUUCUUCGGAGUGGGCGGACAGGAAAGAAUAACUCUGUCGGCAGAAACAUUCUUUCCUAGUCCACCCAUUCCAUUGGUUUCCUGUUAUUCCUCCGUCUACUUUUGGUUGAUUGCUCCGAUCUGCCGGAUGUUAUCUGCGGGUUCCACAAAUAGGUUAUUCGUCUGUGAUCAGAGGAAGGGUGCAAAAGUAAUGAUUCAUCCAUUUCAUUUCCGAAAUGUAUAAUUUCUGUUGUUUAUUUGAAGUUUUUGAAGAUCUGUUAGUGUACUGGUGUAAAAAUAACAGUCCAUUAUUUGGAUCCGACAGCGAUUUUCACCGUCAAAAAAGUGUGCACCUAAAAAUUUGGUAAUAUCAUUUUGUGAAGAACUGGAUCACCCUUUUCUGUCUUUAA